rnacentral:lncRNA from 1 species
GGCUGGUUCUCCUCCUCCCACAUGCGUCUUUCCUGCUUGUUGACUUGCAUUGGACUGAUUUAGAACCAUGUUUGAUGCAUCUAGACUGGCAAGCCCAAGACGGAAGAAUCUGUGGAGAUGAGACUGUGAUGUGACUUCCGAAGAUAAGGAAGAGAUGGCUUGAAAGUAUGGCAUCACUUUGGUAUUUAGUGCAGUGAUGGGAUUGUCAUCACACUCAAUGUUUUGUAGCUGUUCCUGGUGCCUAGGGGAUAUUUAGCGAAGGCAAGGGAAAGGGAAGAUUUCAAGCAACAGACGGAUGGGAAGCCUUGAAAAUUUCGCCAAACCCGCCAGGUCAGAGUGGGGCAGCACAGUCCCUCGCAUUCCUGUUUCUCGUGUUUCUUUGGUUAAAGCUUGGAAGCCGUUUGCAAUGGAAAGAGGCUGAGAUUUUAGAGGAAGGGGUUCAAACUCUUGCUCCUCCAUUCAAGACUUUUGUUGAGGAGCCGGCCUGGUGGCGCAGCGGUUAAGUUCGCACGUUCUGCUUCUCAGCGGCCCGGGGUUGGCCGGUUCGGAUCCUGGGUGUGGACAUGGCACCGCUUGGCACACCAUGCUGUGCCUUCAAGUCCUCAUCUGUAAAAGGAAAAAGAACAGGAGAACUCCUGGAAGGUCCAUACCAGACGCUGCAGACACUUGCUCAGUUGCCUGCGGAUGGAUUUGCUCUGGCUGCGGGCUCAUCUGGUGUAUCCCCUUUGGAUGGCAGAGUAAGAGUGAGAAAGCGGAAACCUGUAGGAUCCUGAGGCCUUGACUUGCAAUUGACACUUCCACUCUAUUUUAUUGGC